GAUGAAGAACGCAGCGAAAUGCGAUAAGUAAUGUGAAUUGCAGAAUUCAGUGAAUCAUCGAAUCUUUGAACGCACAUUGCGCCCUUUGGCAUUCCGAAGGGCAUGCCUGUUCGAGCGUCAUUAUAACCACUCAAGCUCUCGCUUGGUAUUGGGGUUCGCGGUUUCGCGGCCCCUAAAAUCAGUGGCGGUGCCUGUCGGCUCUACGCGUAGUAAUACUUCUCGCGAUUGAGUUCGAUAGGUCUACUUGCCAGUAACCCCCAAUUUUUACAGGUUGACCUCGGAUCAGGUAGGGAUACCCGCUGAACUUAAGCAUAUCAAUAAGCGGAGGA
rnacentral:misc_RNA from 1 species